UUAGGACCAUCUCAAUUUUUACAUCUCUGAAUAACUCAGUGGCCUAGAAAUUGAAGACACUCUUAUGUGGGGGUACAUUAAGUGGGAGUAAAGGAAGAGCUAAUCAGAAGGAGAAUUUGAAAAUCUUUUUAAAAGCAGUUAGAACCCUAGUUACCCUUCCACAGUCCUUCCCAUUCCAGAAAGACUAGAGGUUUAUUCUCCAGAACAGUGUAUUUCUGGCCUGGGAAUAUCAGUAGCUAUUUCAGGUGGGUGCUGAUCACCAAAUAUGGCGUGAUCAAUUAUAAGUUUGUAUACUGCGUGCUGAGACCUUUGGUUCUCUUUCCCCAGUAUCCCCCAGAGCUCAAGAUUCUCUGAGGCAGGAAGUGUCUGGGGACUCUGGCUAACUUAACAGAAAAGACCUGGAGAUGCUGACAUCAGAGACAAUAGCUUGGAAAAACGGAGGCCAUGCAGGAAGAAGAAAACUGGGGGGAAAAAAACUCAACCUUCUAUUAACAUUUUCAAAGAUCUAGGAGAAUAUUUUAUACCCAUGAAACAAGAAUACAGAUGCUAUGUUAAAAAAAAGAACAUUCAGAAAUGUAAAAGAGCUGCUCUUAGAAAUUAAAGAUAAUAUAGGAGAAAUUUUUAAAAGCUCAAUAGAAAUUUUAGAAAAUUCUGGAAAAAAAAGAAAAAGAAGCAGGAGAUGGAUAAUAGGAAACAACAGCAAUUCCAGAAAAGAGAGUACCAGAAAUAGACAGGAAGAAGUUAUCAAAGAAAUAAUUUUGAAAAUUGCCAGAACUGAGGGACAUGAGUUGCCAGACUAAAAGGAUCUGCUGAGUGCCACGAUGGAUUAAAGCACUAAGUCCAGUUACUGUAAACUUUCAGAGCACAUGGGACAAAGAAAAGAUUUCAAAAUCUUUCAAAGAAAACUCAAGUUUCAAACACAAAAAUAAGAUCCACGAUAGCACCAAACUUCUCUACAGGAUGGUUGGAAGCCCAAAGACAAUGAAGCAAUGUCUUAAAAACUCAAAGGAAUAGGAAUUGCAACCUAACCAAACCAGCAUAAAUUAGUGUGAGAAUAUAACAAUGAUCUUUUUAGGCACUCAACAUCUCGUAUACCCUUUUUAAAGAAGGUAAUGGCAGAUAUGACCUACCAAAAUAAGACAGUAAAUGAAGAAAGGUAAAAAACUGAAACCCAGCAAAAGGUAAUCCAACAUAAGAGACAGACAAAAGAAAUCCCCAGGAUGAAGAUGAAAGAAAAACCCAAGAUAACAGUUAUGCACCAAGCAUGGAGCAACCAACUCAAACUGGAGCCAAUUCAGAAGGCUCAAGGAGAGAUUUCUUCAACAUGAAAUUAAUAGCUACUUUCCUCCUCCUCCUUCUCCUCCUCCUGCUCCUCCUCCCCCCUAUUUUCCUUUCCCCUCUUUUUUUUCUUCUCUUUUUUCUUAUAAAGUGG
rnacentral:lncRNA from 10 species